rnacentral:lncRNA from 1 species
GCCGCACGUUCCCCUCGUCCGUGUAUUUUCAGCCCAAGACCAGGUUCCACGCCCAGCAAAGCCCAUCUCCAGUUGAGCUUGCUUCAGCCCAUCUGCAGAUGCAUUUCCAGCCCAGCAUCAAUUGGAUUGGAAGCCCAGCAAUUUCAGUCUUUCGGGCCCAGCAAAGACAGGCCCAAUUCAGUUUUAGUUCAAGCCCAUUUUCAGCAAUUGUAGUCUUCAAGCCCAGUUUUUGAAGCCCAAUCGCAGCUAGGCCCAAGUCCAAGAGCAAGCCCGUUCCAGUGCAAGAACAAAUCUCAAUUGGGCUGAGAUUUGUUGGGCCAAGGUCAAGGCCCGGUCCAAGUCCGCCGGUGUCGUCG